rnacentral:rRNA from 1 species
GGGGAAUCUUCCGCAAUGGGCGCAAGCCUGACGGAGCAAGACCGCGUGCGAGAGGUCGACCUAUUGGUUGUAAACCGCUUUUGAUAGGGAAGAAGCUCUGACGGUACCUAUCGAAUCAGCAUCGGCUAACUCCGUGCCAGCAGCCGCGGUAAUACGGAGGAUGCAAGCGUUAUCCGGAAUUAUUGGGCGUAAAGCGUCCGUAGGUGGUUGUUCAAGUCUGCUGUUAAAGCGUGCGGUUUUUUCGCAUACCAGCAGUGGAAACUGGGCGUCUAGAGUGCGGUAGGGGUCAGGGGAAUUCCCAGGGUAGCGGUGAAAUGCGUAGAUAUUGGGAAGAACACCAGCGGCGAAAGCGCGUGACUGGGCUCUGAACUGACACUGAGGGACGAAAGCUAGGGGAGCGAAUGGGAUUAGAUACCCCACUAGUC